AGAAUCAACGCUGGCGGCGUGCCUAACACAUGCAAGUCGAACGAGAAAGUGGAGCAAUCCAUUAGUAAAGUGGCGCACGGGUGAGUAACACGUGACUAACCUACCCUUGAGUGGGGGGAUAACCUAGGGAAACCUGGGCUAAUACCGCAUAAUACCUUCGGGUCAAAGGAGCAAUUCGCUUAAGGAGGGGGUCGCGGCCGAUUAGUUAGUUGGCGGGGUAAUGGCCCACCAAGACUAUGAUCGGUAUCCGGCCUGAGAGGGCGCACGGACACACUGGAACUGAAACACGGUCCAGACUCCUACGGGAGGCAGCAGUGGGGAAUUUUGCGCAAUGGGGAAACCCUGACGCAGCAACGCCGCGUGGAGGAUGAAGUCCUUGGGACGUAAACUCCUUUCGAUCGGGACGAUAAUGACGGUACCGAGAGAAGAAGCCCGGCUAACUUCGUGCCAGCAGCCGC
rnacentral:rRNA from 1 species